GACCGUCCCAGUUCGGACNGUAGUCUGCAACCCGACUACACGAAGCUGGAAUCGCAGUAAUCGCGAAUCAGAAUGUCGCGGUGAAUACGUUCCCGGGUCUUGUACACACCGCCCGUCACACCAUGGGAGUCGGGAAUGCCCGAAGUCAGUGACCCAACCAUAUGGAGGGAGCUGCCGAAGGCAGGUCUGAUAACUGGGGUGAAGUCGUAACAAGGUAGC
rnacentral:rRNA from 1 species